GAUGAAGAACGUAGCGAAAUGCGAUACGUAGUGUGAAUCGCAGAAUUCAGUGAAUCAUCGAAUCUUUGAACGCACAUUGCACCUCUCGGUAUUCCGGGAGGUAUGCCUGUUCGAGCGUCAUUUGUACCCUCAAGCUCUGCUUGGUGUUGGGUGUUUGUUCCGCCUCUGUGUGUGAACUCGCCUCAAAACAAUUGGCAGCCGGCGUACUUGUUUCGGAGCGCAGCACAUUUUGCGAUCCAGAUCAACGUACAGCGGCAUCCAAGAAGCCUUAUUUAACGCUCUUGACCUCGCAUCAGGUAGGGAUACCCGCUGAACUUAAGCAUAUCAAUAAGCGGAGGA
rnacentral:misc_RNA from 1 species